GUGCUCACUUUGACAGCACACGUACCAUAACUGGAACAAUACAGAGAAGAUUGGCACAGCCCCUGGGCAAGGAUGACAUGCAAAUUGAGAGUGUUCCAUAUUUUU
ensembl:snRNA U6 U6 spliceosomal RNA